UGGACGAAAGUCUGACCGAGCAACGCCGCGUGAGUGAAGAAGGUUUUCGGAUCGUAAAACUCUGUUGUUAGAGAAGAACGUUGUGUAGAGUGGAAAAUUACACAAGUGACGGUAUCUAACCAGAAAGGGACGGCUAACUACGUGCCAGCAGCCGCGGUAAUACGUAGGUCCCGAGCGUUGUCCGGAUUUAUUGGGCGUAAAGCGAGCGCAGGUGGUUUAAUAAGUCUGAUGUAAAAGGCAGUGGCUCAACCAUUGUGUGCAUUGGAAACUGUUAGACUUGAGUGCAGUAGAGGAGAGUGGAAUUCCAUGUGUAGCGGUGAAAUGCGUAGAUAUAUGGAGGAACACCGGUGGCGAAAGCGGCUCUCUGGACUGUAACUGACACUGAGGCUCGAAAGCGUGGG
rnacentral:rRNA from 1 species